AUGAUUCUUGGCAUCACCGACGUUCUCACUUCAUCCUUCUUUGGUCACGAGAUGAUGACCACAGGCUGCGCUACUCUUGGAACCUUCGAGGAUUCGGAUGCCUUGAACCAGGGCUCUGAAUUCUGCGCAUUCCUAGAUUUCAUGUCCCUCCUCGUGAUGGAACUCACAAAUGCCCAUCAAUUCCUGCGUGAUAGUCGCACUGUGCAUUUGCAUCGUACCACUUGGGGUAUGGAGGCUGCAGGGGUUUCAAAUGCCGUCUCAUCGAAAUCAAGAAUAGCAGGAUUAACAAAGUUGGCUCUGGGGUUAGAGCCUGAUUCUGCCUGGAGAUUCAUUAGCGUUGCAGCGUCACCCGGAGGAUUAAUGGUAACAGAGGACCUACGCGGAUUGGAAAAAUUGGGAGCCUUAAAAUGGGAUAAGGUAGUGCAUGGCAAUCAAGCGUGGAGGCUUAUCACUUGCAUCCGGUCGCGCUUGUGGUGUUAUUCAUCUGCUUGCAAACAUGUUGAGCUUGAUCUUCAUUGGAAUUCGCCUUGAACAACAAUUUGGAUUCAGUACGUUAUCUGUUCCCUUUUGCAGUGGUAGCGUACUAUUGUCUCUUUUCAUUCAACGUAGCAUUUCUGUUGGUGCCUCUGGUGCUUUAUUUGGCCUUCUUGGAGCAAUGUUGUCGGAGCUACUGACUAAUUGGACUAUCUAUACAAAUAAGGCUGCAGCUCUGAUCACACUCACGGUCAUCAUUGUCAUUAACUUAGCAGUGGGGAUUCUUCCUCACGUCGACAACUUUGCGCAUAUUGGAGGUUUCUUAAUCGGUUUUCUCCUCGGGUUCGUUUUGCUACUUCGUCCCCAAUUCGGGUGGGUGGGACGUAAACAUCUUCCUGCCGGUGCUCGUGUAACAUCUAAGCAUAAAGCAUACCAAUACUUAUUUUUGGUGAUAGCUAUGGUUUUACUCAUUGUUGGGUAAGUUCUCUCAACCCUACAUUACUAGUUUAGCAGCUCGUGUUUAUAAUUUUG